CAUGAACUAAGUAUUAUGCUUUUUCUUCCUCAUAUAAAUAUGUAAUUGAAAUAAUUAAAGUUAGGCAGAAAGAAUCUGAUAAUUUUUUUUGUGGGGGAAUUAACUACUUGCUCUCCUGUGCUGCUUAUGGAAGACAUUUAAAAAUAACAUGAAACUGGUGUUAAUGACCACCUUACUUUCCCAGCUUAGAACAUUUUCCUCCAUAGGAGUUGGAUGUUAACAGCAGAGUCAGUAGUGGGUUAAUUAUUUUAUUUGGUUUAUUAGAUAUUAUUCUUAGGCUCAGAUUUUUGUCAUCCUUUUCCCUUCACAGGGAAGGUUUUAACCCAAGAUCUAUAAUCCUGUGCCAUAGCGUCAGCCUCAGGAAACAGAUGCAACAGUUAAGCCACAGUCAUAGACAAGGGGCACAGGAGCUAGUUCGGUCUUGGGUUCAUCUGUGGAGGACCACCUGCUCUCAGGCAGCAAAGGGCAGCAGCCCUGCAGGGCUCUUCCACACCCUUAGAGCCCCUAAUUGUCCUCAGCUGGGCCUGCCUACUGCUAUUUAAGCUCCAGCUGAGGAGCAUCAUCUGUUAUUGCUUCUCCUGCUUGGCUGCUGGAGGAGUGGGGCUUCCUCUUCGAGGCUGACUUCAUCUUUGAGGCUGGCUUCAUGGCCACUGUCCUGCAUCACACUGUGUGCUGGACCAAUACGUGUAUGAGGACAGGAUGAUCAUCUUCCUGGUGGAAUGCAGAAGUGAAAUACUGCAGGAGGUAAGAGGCCCUUUUUUGGUUUUUUUGACUGUGGAUUUUUUUCUUUCUUGCUGAUGAAAAGCUUUUACUGAGGUGGGAUAACCUGGCUGCUGUUGUCACAGGGCUUUGCCUUGUCAACUUGUGGGCAAUUUGCUUUAGUGAAACUGUUCUUCUGGCCUCAAGUGUGUUAAACUGACAAGAUAAUGUAAAUUAGCCUUAAUUUGUCCUUUCUGGUGGCCCAGGAAGCAAAUUUUCCUUUUGGCAAUUCCUGCA
rnacentral:lncRNA from 14 species